rnacentral:tRNA from 1 species
GCCUUCAUGUGUAGUGCUCAGCACACUCGACUCGCAACCGAGAGGUCCGUGGUUCGAUUCCUGGCGAAGCCG